rnacentral:rRNA from 1 species
CAGUAGCCACGGUAAUACGGAGGGGGCUAGCGUUGUUCGGAAUUACUGGGCGUAAAGCGCACGUAGGCGGCUUGGUAAGUUAGAGGUGAAAGCCCGGAGCUCAACUCCGGAAUUGCCUUUAAGACUGCCGAGCUAGUAGGUGAGAGAGGUAAGUGGAAUUCCGAGUGUAGAGGUGAAAUUCGUAGAUAUUCGGAAGAACACCUGUGGCGAAGGCGGCUUACUGGCUCAUUCUAGACGCUGGGGUGCGAAAGCGCGGGGAGCAAACAGGAUUAGAUACCCGUGUAGUCCCUGUCUCUUAUAC